CUACGGGUGGCAGCAGUAGGGAAUAUUGGACAAUGGGCGAAAGCCUGAUCCAGCAACACCGCGUGCACGAUGACGGCCUUCGGGUUGUAAAGUGCUUCUAGAGGAGAUGAGAGAGGACAGUAUCCUCUGAAUAAGCCUCGGCGAACUACGUGCCAGCAGCCGCGGUAAAACGUAGGAGGCAAGCGUUAUCCGGAUUUAUUGGGCGUAAAGCGCGUGCAGGCGGUCUAGCAAGUUGGAUGUGAAAGCUCCCGGCUCAACUGGGAGAGGUCGUUCAAUACUGUUAGACUAGAGAAUAGGAGAGGGAGGUGGAAUUCCGGGUGUAGUGGUGAAAUGCGUAGAUAUCCGGAGGAACACCAGUGGCGAAAGCGGCCUCCUGGACUAUUUCUGACGCUAAGACGCGAAAGCUAGGGUAGCAAACGGGAUUAGAUACCCGCGUAGUC
rnacentral:rRNA from 1 species